GACGAACCGUGCGAACGUUGUUCGGAAUCACUGGGCUUAAAGGGCGCGUAGGCGGGCUCGCGCGUCCGGGGUGAAAGCCUCCAGCUCAACUGGAGAAGUGCCCCGGAUACGGCGGGCCUCGAGGGAGAUAGGGGCGUGUGGAACUUCCGGUGGAGCGGUGAAAUGCGUAGAUAUCGGAAGGAACGCCGGUGGCGAAAGCGGCACGCUGGAUCUCUUCUGACGCUGAGGCGCGAAAGCCAGGGGAGCGAACGGG
rnacentral:rRNA from 1 species